CCUUGUGGUGCACGUAACAAGUAUACCAUUGUUAUUGGUAUUUACUAUUUUAACAUUUACAGUAGGCGAACUACAAAAUUAUUUUAUUUAUUGAAAUAUUUUUAUAUUUUAGAAAAGAAAAAAAUUCAAUAUGUUGUCUCUCAAUGCUAUACAAACAUUAAGGCGAUUUUCGACUUCGGUUGUUAGAAGAGGCCAUGGAUACGAAGGUCCUGGAAAAAAUUUGCCAUUUGAUGUCUACAGCAAGUACAAAUUUACUCUGUAUUAUGCACUAUUCUUUAGUUCUGGUUUUGGUCUACCAUUCUGGAUGGUGAGAUACGUUCGCAAAAGGAGCGGUUAAUUAAUAUGUCAAAUACUUAAUCAAUUGGUAAAUAAUGUUAUAUAAAUUAGACUUACAAUCAUUCCAAAAUAUAUAUUCAUUAUUUAAGUUAAUCGCUGUUCCAACUUUGUAGAAAUUAAAAAAUUAAAAAAUAUUUUUAUAAACUAAUGUAGAAAAUAAAGUUGAUAAUUUACUUUAUAGAAGUGA